GUGUUAGCAGGAACAAGAGAAAGAUGGCAGAAGAAAGUUUAAAAAGAUGAAAUGAAAGAGGGAUUAGAAAGGUUUGGAGACUGGACAAGGAAAAUGUAGGAGAAAGGGAUGUUUGGUACAGUUUUCCCCCUUCAGUUAUCCAGCAAGUUAAACACAUCCAUACAGUAACUCUCAGGACCAUGAAGUGAUGUUGAGAUGCUUUACUUGUAUGAAAAGUGUGAAACUGAAAAAUACAUAAACAACAAUAUUGGUUCAGUAUUGGUUUGCAACUUCACUUACACCAUAUCACAUAACAUAAGCAUGACCAGCAGGUAAGUAUUAAGCAAAAUCAGUGUUACAGAAUUAAUGGAGCAUUAAUGAACUGAUCUGUUAGUAUACAUAAACCAAAAAAGGCUACCCCAAGUGAUUCACUAAAUUCACCGACAUCAUAACAAAAAGUGGUCAAGAAAAUGUGCUUAUAUCAAAGAUACAUCGUUUCACAAUGCAUGUACUUACAGGUGAUGCCUUCUCAGGGGCUAUGAAUGAAGGAUGGCAACAGAUGAACACACAUCAGCUUCACUAGAGCACACAGGCCAUUUUUAGUUGGCUUGAACUAACUUCCUGUUACACAGGAAAUACAAAUCAGUGCUCAAACACUAUACUACAAUAAAUGACCAACAGGAGUCACUAGAGAACCCAGUAACACUGCACUAUGGUAAAUAACCAGCAGGAGUCACUAAAGAACAUUGAAUAACAGGCAUGGCCAGAACAGAAGUUGUGAAUGCGCUCCACCCACUCUGAGCAAUUUCAACAUGUUUAUGAGUUUUCACGGGACGAAGCUGAAUAAAGAACGCCCUGUAGUUUAAAAGAAAACUCCGUUUCCUCGUGUUACUGUGGGAGCUACAGUGAAAACUCGAUGUCAAGACCCAAGGCGUGUGGAGAAGCAAGCGGCAAGUCAUCGCCAUCGCAUCGCAUUCCUCAGCGCUUCUUCUGAGAUGAGACGCACGAGAGCUACUUUGCAGUCCGCAGUACGGUGCAGGUGCCAUUGUUUUGCUAGCGUAGGCUCAACAUUUUGAACGGACAUUUCAGAGACUUCGGUGACCGUGUUCAUAUCUAGGUCAAUCUAUGUUUUCUUUGUUGGCUAAUAACUCUUGGUUUGAUGAUGGUCCAUUUAGGCUUAGGCAAGUUCAAUACCAUAAUGGCAGGUUGUAGCCAUUAUGCAUGAUCAUAUGCAUGUGUGUGACUAACAUAACAGUUAUUUCAAAUGCUCUUUUAAAUAGAGAAUGUUUAUAGUUGAA